CCUACGGGAGGCAGCAGUGGGGGAUAUUGCACAAUGGGGGAAACCCUGAUGCAGCGACGCCGCGUGUGGGAAGACGGUCCUCUGGAUUGUAAACCACUGUCCCCAGGGACGAAGAUGACGGUACCUGGGGAGGAAGCUCCGGCAAACUACGGGCCAGCAGCCGCGGUAAUACGUAGGGAGCGAGCGUUGGCCGGAAUUACUGGGUGUAAGGGGAGCGUAGGGGGUACUGCAAGUUGGGUGUCAAAUCUACCGGCUCAACCGGUAGCCGCACUCAAAACUGCAGUUCUUGAGUGAAGUAGAGGGAGGCGGAAUUCCUGGUGUAGCGGUGAAAUGCGUAGAUAUUAGGAGGAAAACCAGGGGCGAAGGCGGCCUGCUGGGCUUUUACUGAGGCUGAGGCUCGAAAGUGUGGGGAGCAAACAGGAUUAGAUACCCUGUAGUC
rnacentral:rRNA from 1 species